rnacentral:rRNA from 1 species
GAUGAACGCUAGCGGCAGGCCUAACACAUGCAAGUCGAGGGGCAGCACAGGUAGCAAUACUGGGUGGCGACCGGCGGAUGGGUGCGUAACGCGUAUGCAACCUACCAUUGAUUGGGGCAUAGCCCGAAGAAAUUCGGAUUAAUACUCCAUAAUAUUCAUCAAAGGCAUCUUUUAUGAAUUAAAGCUUUUGCGAUCAAUGAUGGGCAUGCGUGACAUUAGUUAGUUGGUGAGGUAACGGCUACACCAAAACGAUGAUGUCUAGGGGUUCUGAGAGGAUUAUCCCCAACUGGUACUGAGACACGGACCAGACUCCUACGGGAGGCAGCAGUGAGGAAUAUUGGUCAAUGGACGCAAGUCUGAACCAGCCAUGCCGCGUGCAGGAUGACGGCCCUAUGGGUUUAAACUGACUUUUCCACGGAAGAACCCUCCGACGUGUCGAGACUGGACGUACCGUGGAAUAAGCAGUCGGACUAACGUCCGU